rnacentral:tRNA from 1 species
GGGCGGUAUAGCUCAGGGGGAGAGCAUCGGCCUUACAAGCCGGGGGUCAGAGGUUCAAAUCCUCUUCCGCCCA